CCUUUUUGUUAAAGGGAUAACAAGUGGCCUCUCCUGUAGCAACUACGAGCGUUUCCCCACAUCUGGUUUUUUGCAUUCCAGUCCCCCGCAAUGAUGAACCUGUGAUGAACCAGUGUAAGCCUUAUAUCCAGGGAUAUUAAUGGUCCAUGUCCUAAUUUCGCUGACGAGCAGGACGUCAACAUCAUGUCCCCUUAAGAAUGCUGAGAGCUCAUCAAUUUUGUUAUGGAUGCCCCCAGCGUUCCAGGAGACUAUCUUUAAGCUCUUGGGAGCUUUAGGCAUAGGGACAGUCAUUGGCGUCUAGGCUGUUAUUUAAAAUCGAAGCCAUUUCGAUUGUCUGGAUAGAGCAGGAUAAGUUUGUUAGAAAGUCAUUGUCCGGUGAGGCCUCUGUUAUGUCAAACAUAUUUGUAAUUUUAAUAAACAGUGUUGACAAUUUA